UAGGGAAUCUUCGGCAAUGGGGGGAACCCUGACCGAGUAACGCCGCGUGAGUGAAGAAGGUUUUCGGAUCGUAAAGCUCUGUUGUUAAGGAAGAACGAGUGUGAGAAUGGAAAGUUCAUACUGCGACGGUACUUAACCAGAAAGGGACGGCUAACUACGUGCCAGCAGCCGCGGUAAUACGUAGGUCCCGAGCGUUGUCCGGAUUUAUUGGGCGUAAAGCGAGCGCAGGCGGUUAGAUAAGUCUGAAGUUAAAGGCAGUGGCUCAACCAUUGUAGGCUUUGGAAACUGUUUAACUUGAGUGCAGAAGGGGAGAGUGGAAUUCCAUGUGUAGCGGUGAAAUGCGUAGAUAUAUGGAGGAACACCGGUGGCGAAAGCGGCUCUCUGGUCUGUAACUGACGCUGAGGCUCGAAAGCGUGGGGAGCGAACAGGAUUAGAUACCCUGGUAGUCCACGCCGUAAACGAUGAGUGCUAGGUAUUAGACCCUUUCCGGGGUUUAGUGCCGCAGCUAACGCAUUAAGCACUCCGCCUGGGGAGUACGACCGCAAGGUUG
rnacentral:rRNA from 1 species